rnacentral:rRNA from 1 species
AGAGUUUGAUCAUGGCUCGAGGACGAACGCUGGCGGCGUGCUUAACACAUGCAAGUCGAACGGUAAGGCCCUUCGGGGUACACGAGUGGCGAACGGGUGAGUAACACGUGGGUGAUCUGCCCUGCACUUCGGGAUAAGCCUGGGAAACUGGGUCUAAUACCGGAUAGGACCAUGGACUUCACGGUUUGUGGUGGAAAGCUUUUGCGGUGUGGGAUGGGCCCGCGGCCUAUCAGCUUGUUGGUGGGGUAAUGGCCUACCAAGGCGACGACGGGUAGCCGGCCUGAGAGGGUGUCCGGCCACACUGGGACUGAGAUACGGCCCAGACUCCUACGGGAGGCAGCAGUGGGGAAUAUUGCACAGUGGGCGCAAGCCUGAUGCAGCGACGCCGCGUGAGGGAUGACGGCCUUCGGGUUGUAAACCUCUUUCAAUAGGGACGAAGCGCAAGUGACGGUACCUAUAGAAGAAGCACCGGCCAACUACGUG